AGAGUUUGAUCCUGGCUCAGAUUGAACGCUGGCGGCAUGCCUUACACAUGCAAGUCGAACGGCAGCACGGGAGCAAUCCUGGUGGCGAGUGGCGAACGGGUGAGUAAAGUAUCGGAACGUGCCCAGUCGUGGGGGAUAACGUAGCGAAAGCUACGCUAAUACCGCAUACGAUCUAUGGAUGAAAGCGGGGGAUCGCAAGACCUCGCGCGAUUGGAGCGGCCGAUAUCAGAUUAGGUAGUUGGUGGGGUAAAGGCCUACCAAGCCGACGAUCUGUAGCUGGUCUGAGAGGACGACCAGCCACACUGGGACUGAGACACGGCCCAGACUCCUACGGGAGGCAGCAGUGGGGAAUUUUGGACAAUGGGCGCAAGCCUGAUCCAGCAAUGCCGCGUGCAGGAUGAAGGCCUUCGGGUUGUAAACUGCUUUUGUACGGAGCGAAAAGGCUUCCACUAAUACUGGAGGCUCAUGACGGUACCGUAAGAAUAAGCACCGGCUAACUACGUGCCAGCAGCCGCGGUAAUACGUAGGGUGCAAGCGUUAAUCGGAAUUACUGGGCGUAAAGCGUGCGCAGGCGGUCUUGUAAGACAGGUGUGAAAUCCCCGGGCUUAACCUGGGAACUGCACUUGUGACUGCAAGGCUGGAGUACGGCAGAGGGGGAUGGAAUUCCGCGUGUAGCAGUGAAAUGCGUAGAUAUGCGGAGGAACACCGAUGGCGAAGGCAAUCCCCUGGGCCUGUACUGACGCUC
rnacentral:rRNA from 1 species